UACGUAGGGUGCGAGCGUUGUCCGGAAUUAUUGGGCGUAAAGAGCUUGUAGGUGGUUUGUCGCGUCUGCUGUGAAAAUCCGAGGCUCAACCUCGGACUUGCAGUGGGUACGGGCAGACUAGAGUGUGGUAGGGGAGACUGGAAUUCCUGGUGUAGCGGUGGAAUGCGCAGAUAUCAGGAGGAACACCGAUGGCGAAAGCAGGUCUCUGGGCCAUUAACUGACACUG
rnacentral:rRNA from 1 species